rnacentral:rRNA from 1 species
UACGUAGGUGGCAAGCGUUGUCCGGAAUUACUGGGUGUAAAGCGCGUGUAGGCGGCAGACCAAGUCGGCGGUGAAAGCGCCCGGCUCAACUGGGCGAGGUCCGUGGAAACUGGUCAGCUGGAGGACGGUAGAGGCGAGUGGAAUUCCCGGUGUAGUGGUGAAAUGCGUAGAGAUCGGGAGGAACACCCGUGGCGAAAGCGGCUCUCUGGGACGGUACUGGACGCUGAGACGCGAAAGCGUGGGGAGCAAACAGGG